rnacentral:rRNA from 1 species
UACGUAGGGGGCAAGCGUUGUCCGGAAUCAUUGGGCGUAAAGAGCGUGUAGGCGGCCUGGUAAGUCCGCUGUGAAAGUCCAGGGCUCAACCCUGGAAUGCCGGUGGAAACUGUCAGGCUCGAGUCCGGAAGAGGCGAGUGGAAUUCCUGGUGUAGCGGUGAAAUGCGCAGAUAUCAGGAGGAACACCGACGGCGAAGGCAGCGCCCUGGACGAGACCUGACGCUCAGGCACGAAAGCUGGGGGAGCAAACAGG